AUUGAACGCUGGCGGCAGGCCUAACACAUGCAAGUCGAGCGGAUGAAGGGAGCUUGCUCCUGGAUUCAGCGGCGGACGGGUGAGUAAUGCCUAGGAAUCUGCCUGGUAGUGGGGGAUAGCGUCCGGAAACGGGCGCUAAUACCGCAUACGUCCUGAGGGAGAAAGUGGGGGAUCUUCGGACCUCACGCUAUCAGAUGAGCCUAGGUCGGAUUAGCUAGUUGGUGGGGUAAAGGCCUACCAAGGCGACGAUCCGUAACUGGUCUGAGAGGAUGAUCAGUCACACUGGAACUGAGACACGGUCCAGACCCCUACGGGAGGCAGCAGUGGGGAAUAUUGGACAAUGGGCGAAAUCCUGAUCCAGCCAUGCCGCGUGUGUGAAGAAGGUCUUCGGAUUUUAAAGCACUUUAAGUUGGGAGGAAGGGCAGUAAGUUAAUACCUUGCUGUUUUGACGUUACCAACAGAAUAAGCACCGGCUAACUUCGUG
rnacentral:rRNA from 1 species